CGGCGCGGGAGAGCGCUCGGCCUUGGACUGCUGCGGCGGCGGGGGCUCGACACCGAGGGGGCCCGCCCCGGGACCCUCGCCACCAACAGGCUUCACUCGAGCGGGGCGGGGUGUCAGUUGCUAAAGUGUCUUAAUUUCCUGGCGUUACCCGCCCCCUCCCCCCACCUCCGCCAAGGCUCUGCGCGGCCCUUGGAGCCCGAAGGACAACCUGAGGCUGCUGAGACUCUCUCCCGCUUCCCCGCAUCUUGGUAUUUUCCUUUUUGCCAGCCGCAGGCGAAGCAGUCAGUGUAGCUAAAGCAACUGAAGACCCAUAUGAAGCUGAGCGCUUUUUUCAUUUCUGUUAUCCGAAGUCAACAAAAUAGCCGAAGUUCAAUGGGGUUUGCAUCCACACCCCUACCCUGCCUUCUCGCCCCCUGAUUUUGGGGCUGGGACAGAAGGGUGCGAUAGUGGACUGUACUGGACUGCAUUUUCUUCUUGUGUUGUUUUUUUGUUUGUUUUAUUUUUGCUUUUUGUACUGUUUCUUGGGUCUGCUAUUUGUAAUGAGUCCACAUCUUGUAGGCACACUUAGAGAGAGGCCCUGUUCUGUAUCUUUGGGGCAUCUGUUUUCUUGUGUAGUGAGGAAAAAGUGAGGGUGGGGCAUAAAAACUAAAAUUCUGUGAAAUUGUACUAUAAUGCUGAGUUUUGAAAAUUAAUAAUUUACCCUGUCAUCCAGCCAGUGAGAAAAAAGUUCUGACCCAAACACCAUCUUCUUAGAAAAGGUGAUUUCCAAGCAAUAAAUUUAUAAAAUAUAAAAAUUACUUAAAUGUUAAAAGCUUUUAUCUAUAACAUGAGUAUCGGGGAAACUCAAUUAUCUCGAGCAGCUCUGUUCAAUAGAAAUAUACUAUGAUAUAUAUUAUAUACACACAAUUUUAAAUUUACUAGUAGCCACGUUAAAACAAGUAACAAGAAAUGUGAAAUUAACUUCAAAAAUACAUUUUAUUUAGUCUAAUGUGUUCAAAAUACCAUCUCAACAUGUAACCAAUGUAAAAAAAGGUAUUGAGAUAUUUUACAUUUUUUAUACAGUUUUUGAAAUCCACUGUGUAUUUUACACUUAGAACACAUGUCAAUUCAAAGUACCCAUGUUCAAUUGUCCCCACUAUGUGUGGGUACUGGCUGCUGUGUUAGACAAAGCCAUUCUAGCUUAGUUCUCCCCACGACCCAUCCAAGAAUUAGGAGAUCUGCCAAGAGAUCGAAUUUGAAGUCACUGUAACAAAUAACAGUUUGUUCUGAGGAAGGGCAAGAGCAAGUUCUGUUCCAUAGAUUAAUUUUAAUUGUGGGGUCAGAACACGUUUCACCGUAUUUUCCAAGUCUCCAACAAAUUAAGAAAAGAGGCCCAGGUCUUCAUUUGGCAAAAAGCCCACAUUCUGAGGCAUCCAUCCAGUGAAAUAUAUUGAGGUUUUUCUCAGCCAAAUAAAAAUGAGGCUGAUUGUUCUUGGUAUCAAGGGAAUGCUCGACAGCUUAGUAUUUGCAAAACAUCUCUUUCAUCUGCCCCCCUGGAAGAGCUGACUGUGGCUUCCAAGCUUGUGAGCCCCCAAGGGCUCUUAAUCAGACGCUGCAGAUGCAGGUGAGGAGGGUUUUCCCGGCUCUGUGCUGCUGUGCUGUAAGUCCUACAGCCUCCUCAUGAGGCCCCUCAAUUCUCUGGAACAGGGUUUCCCUCUGGAGCUUUGUCAGUGUGUCGCAGUCAUUCUGUUUGUUUUUCUGUAUGGAUUCAGUUGUUGUUACAGCUUCUUUCACCUGAUUCCCAAGAUGUGUUCUCAAGGUCAAGUAGACUGGAGAUCUUUCAGUGCUGCCACUCACCAUCUGCCCAGGCACCAGGAUGAAGGCUGAAGCAUUUACUGGAUUGAACCCUUCCUCCAGUUACAUCCAGGGCUGAAAGAGACUUUACAGAUGGUCUCCUGCAGCGAUGAGGACACCAGAACGCAUAGGUGAAACCAUUGCUCAAGGUGGCUCAGCCGUGGCACAGCUGCUGGGGCAGCUCUCCUGGCUCUUGGGUGGCUAUUCUGUCACCCACAGAGCUUCUCUGUGACAGGAAGUGGCCUGGGUACUGGCCAGAGCCACACUUGUUUGUGCAAAAUCUUUUACAAAGCUUCAACAGAGAAACAUGACACUCAGCUCUCAGCACAACUCAAUUCAUACCUAAAUAUUUCCUAACUUAAAAAGCUAAAUGAUUUCAUCUCAAAUUUGGUUUAAUUUUUUUUUUUUAAAUUUACCUCCUAGGAAGGAUUAGAAUCACAUAAAAUAAUUUCUUUAACAAGGGUAUGAGUGGUGCCAACAGAAAUCUAGGGUAGAAACAACUUCUUGUGCUCAGCUGUAGAGGUGCUCAUGACUGCUGGUGAGGUCCCCUCCAGGCAGAGCGCUCCUUGGGCAGCUCAGCCACUGCAGUUGAGGCAGCCACCACGUCGCUUCAAGGACAUGGUGUCCAUGCUCUCUGAUGUAUGUCCACUCAUAAUUUUCUUAAAAUCAUGUCUCAAUUCAAGGUGCAUUUCCUGAGAGGCAGCAUAGUAUCAUGGAAAGAGAAGUGAAUCUGAAAUCAAAAUUCCCACCAUCGACCAAAUGACCUUUGCAGAAAUCAGUUACUAUGGCUGAGUCUCAGAUUUGUCUGAAGGAGAAUGUUAUCAAUUCUCCUGGGCCUGCCUAGCUGGGGUUGCUGUGAAGCUCCAAGGUGAUGUGAAGAGGCCUGGGGGUGGGUGGCAGUGGGUAAAUUCUCCUGAUUCUUCUCUAAGGAGCGGUUGUAUUUAGGGAAUGCUGUCCAGAACUGUUCCCUCCUUUCACCCCUGUCUUAGUCUGUUCAGGCUGCAAUAACAAAAUACCACAGACUGGGUGAGUCACAAACAACAGAAAGCCAUUUCUCAUGGUUCUGAAGGCUGGGAAGUCCAAGAUGAAGGCACCAGUAGAUUUGCUGGAGUGAGCAGGACUGAAGC